rnacentral:rRNA from 1 species
UGGGGAAUAUUGGGCAAUGGGCGAAAGCCUUACCCAGCAACGCCGCGUGAGGGAAGAAGGUUUUCGGAUUGUAAACCUCUGUCCUGGGGGACGAAGGAAGUGACGGUACCCCGGGAGGAAGCCCCGGCUAACUACGUGCCAGCAGCCGCGGUAAUACGUAGGGGGCGAGCGUUGUCCGGAAUUAUUGGGCGUAAAGGGCGCGUAGACGGCCGAGUAAGUUAUAGGUGAAAGCCCAUCUUUCAAGGAUGGAAUUGCCUGUAAUACUGCCUGGCUUGAGUGCAGGAGAGGGAAGCGGAAUUCCUAGUGUAGCGGUGAAAUGCGUAGAUAUUAGGAGGAACACCAGUGGCGAAGGCGGCUUUCUGGACUGUAACUGACGCUGAGGCGCGAAAGCGUGGGGAGCGAACAGGAUUAGAUACC